AGAGUUUGAUCAUGGCUCAGAGUGAACGCUGGCGGCGUGCUUAACACAUGCAAGUCGAACGGUAACAGAUACUUCGGUAUGCUGACGAGUGGCGAACGGGUGAGUAAUGUAUAGUUAAUUUGCCUCUUGGAGAGGGAUAGCCAUUGGAAACGAUGAUUAAUACCUCAUACUCCUUAUAUAGUAAAUAUAUAAGGGAAAUGUUUUUUCGCCAAGAGAUAAGACUAUAUGGUAUCAGGUAGUUGGUGGGGUAAGAGCCUACCAAGCCAAUGACGCCUAGCUGGUCUGAGAGGAUGAUCAGCCACACUGGAACUGAGACACGGUCCAGACUCCUACGGGAGGCAGCAGUGGGGAAUAUUGCACAAUGGAGGAAACUCUGAUGCAGCAACGCCGCGUGGAGGAAGAAGCAUUUCGGUGUGUAAACUCCUUUUAUAUAGGAAGAUAAUGAUGGUACUAUAUGAAUAAGCACCGGCUAACUCCGUGCCAGCAGCCGUGGUAAUACGGAGGGUGCAAGCGUUACUCGGAAUCACUGGGCGUAAAGCGCAUGCAGGCGGUUUAUAAAGUCAGAAGUGAAAUCCUACAGCUCAACUGUAGAACUGCUUCUGAAACUCAUGAA
rnacentral:rRNA from 1 species